UUUUUCGGACGGAGUUUCUUUGUCUGAAUGUUUACUUUGAGAAAAUUAGAGUGCUCAAAGCAGGCUUUUGCCUUGAAUAGUUUAGCAUGGAAUAAUAAAGUAGGACUUUGGUUCUAUUUUGUUGGUUUUAGGUACCAAAGUAAUGGUUAAUAGGAACAGUUGGGGGCAUUCGUAUUUAACUGUCAGAGGUGAAAUUCUUAGAUUUGUUAAAGACGAACUACUGCGAAAGCAUUUGCCAAGGAUGUUUUCAUUAAUCAAGAACGAAAGUUAGGGGAUCGAAGACUAUCAGAUACCGUCGUAGUCCUA
rnacentral:rRNA from 1 species